rnacentral:lncRNA from 1 species
GGACGCCCACCAUGCACUGUGUCCGGCGCGGUACACCAGUAGCCCGAUCUUUGGUCCAUCGCCCCUUGCAAGAUGAGGGACCAGAUGCCGCAUCCUGAUUCCCGAUGAGAGUGGUUGAGAGCGUGUUUUGGCGUGAUGCCCAGGCAGGCGUGCCGUCGGCCGAGUGGCAUCGGGUGCAAUUGCGUUCAAAGACUCGAUGGUUUGCGGGAUUCUGCAAUUCACACCAGGUAUCGCAUUUCGCUACGUUCUUCAUCGAUGCGAGAGCUGAGAUAUCCGUUGCCGGGAGUGGUGUGGAUUAAAUAGAUUUGCAACACGAGGGACGGCUAGCAAGCUAGCCAUGCCCCUGGGUUAGGCACAGUGUUCCUUGAUGCCUUCGGUGUCGUGGGCUCUUUUACCCCGAGCCCCCACCCGCUCCAAGGAGGGGAGGUGGUCGAGGCAUUGUCCGAGCGACAGACGGUGCCAUCGCCGACAUAUUGGAUGACGCGUGCGCGGUCUAUUUUGGUCAAGGUCACGACAAUGAUCCUUCCGCAGGUUCACCUACGGAGACCUUGUUACGACUUCUCCUUCCUCUAAAUGAUAAGAUUCAAUGGACUUCUCGCGACGUCGGGGGCAGCGAACCGCCCCCGUCGCAGCGAUCUGAAGACUUCACCGGACCAUUCAAUCAGUAGGAGCGAUGGGAGGUGUGUACAAAGGGCAGGGACAUAGUCAACGCGAGCUGAUGACUCACACUUACUAGGCAUUCCUUGUUGAAGACCAACAAUUGCAAUGAUCUAUCCCCAUCACGAUGAAAUUUGCCAAGAUUACCCGGGCCUGCCGGCCAAGGCUAUAUACUCGUUGAAUACAUCAGUGAAGCGCGCGUGCAGCCCAGAACAUCUAAGGGCAUCACAGACCUGUUAUUGCCUCAAACUUCCGUCGCCUAAACGGCGAUAGUCCCUCUAAGAAGCUAGCUGCGGAGCGAUGGCUCCACAUAGCUAGUUAGCAGGCUGAGGUCUCGUUCAUUAAAUUAACCAGACAAAUCGCUCCACCAACUAAGAACGGCCAUGCACCACCACCCAUAGAAUCAAGAAAGAGCUCUCAGUCUGUCAAUCCUUGCUAUGUCUGGACCUGGUAAGUUUCCCCGUGUUGAGUCAAAUUAAGCCACAGGCUCCAUGACCCCGUCCCUUAGGAUGGGCUUACCCAUGUGCAAGUGUCGUUCACAUGGAACCUUUCUCCUCUUCGGCCUUCAAAGUUCUCAUUUGAAUAUUUGCUACUACCACCAAGAUCUGCACCGACGGCCGCUCCGCCCAGGCUCGUGCCCCGGGUUUUGUAGCGGCCGCCGCGCUCUCCUAGUCAUCGAGGCAUGGCGCUCGCCUAGAUGGCCGGGUGUGGGUUGUGCGCUUCAGUGCCAUCCAUUUUCGGGUCAGUUGAUUCGGCGGGUGAGUUGUUACACACUCCUUAGCGGAUUUCGACUUCCAUGACCACCGUCCUGCUGUCUUAAUCGACCAACACCCUUUGUGGGUUCUAGGUUAGCGUGCAGUUUGGCAUCGUAACCUGGCUUCCGGUUCAUCCCGCAUCGCCAGUUCUGCUUACCAAAAAUGUCCCACUUGGAGCACGCGAUUUCAUGGUACGGCUCACCAAAGCAGCCGCGCCAUCCUACCUAUUUAAAGUUUGAGAAUAGGUCGAGGACGUUGCGUCCCCAAUGCCUCUAAUCAUUGGCUUUACCUGAUAGAACUCGUAAUGGGCUCCAUCUAUCCUGAGGGAAACUUCGGAGGGAACCAGCUACUAGAUGGUUCGAUUAGUCUUUCUCCCCUAUACCCAAGUCAGAUGAAUGAUUUGCACGUCAGUAUCGCUUCGAGCCUCCACCAAAGUUUCCUCUGGCUUCGCCCCGCUCAGGCAUAGUUCACCAUCUUUUGGGUCCCGACAGGCGUGCUCCAACUCGAACCCUUCACAGAAGAUCAGGCUCGGCCAGUGGUGCGGGCCGUGAGAGCCUCCCGCUCGUCAGCUUCCUUGCGCAUCCCAGGUUUCAGAACCCGUUGACUCGCACGCAUGUCAGACUCCUUGAUCCGUGUUUCAAGACGGGUCGGAUGGGGAGCCCGCAGGACGUUGCAGCGCAGUGCCCCGAGGGACAUGCCUUUCGGCGCGCGGGUACCGGCCGUGCCGACGACGGCCACCAGAGGCACCAAGGCCCCCUGGGCUUUGGCCGCCGGCACGACCAACAACAAUCCACACCCCGAGCCAAGCGGCGGACCAGCAAGAGCCGUUUCGCAUACGGCCGGGGCGCAUCGCCGGCCCCCAUCCGCUUCCCUCCCGGCAAUUUCAAGCACUCUUAGACUCUCUUUUCAAAGUCCUUUUCAUCUUCCCUCGCGGUACUUGUUCGCUAUCGGUCUCUCGCCUGUAUUUAGCCUUGGACGGAGUCUACCGCCUGAUUUGGGCUGCAUUCCCAAACAACAAGACUCGUUGACGGCGCCUCGUGGGGCAACAGGGUCCGGGCCGGACGGGGCUCUCACCCUCCUAGGCGCCC